rnacentral:lncRNA from 1 species
AGUCACGUGGGAAAGGCUACUCGGCAAACUUCAGCCAUCACUUGAUGUUAGCCUCUCUGACAUGACAAAGACAAAAUUUGAGAUUUGUUUGUUUGUUUAAGCUAACACUUGCGAAGUACUUAACAUAUGCCAGGCAUGGUUCUAAGUGCUUCCUUUACAAGUUCAGACUUAACUAAAUCUUCAUGAGUUAUUAUUUAUCUUUCACAUUAAUGAAAUUAAAGCACACAGCUAGUAAAAAGCAGAAGCAGAAAUGAAACCAAACAGUCUGGAUCCAGAGUCCAUCAUACCCAGACUGCUUUGCUGUAGGUACUGCCCUACAGCACAACAGGUCCCUCUGAACAGUAUGUUUGCCAAUAUUCCCAUUUAGUGUAUAAUGCCCCAGGUUACAGCCUUUGGCAAAUAAAUGGUGUUGUCCUUGAUGCCAGAUAUCAUACCUAAAUUUUUAAAAAUUUACUGUAGAGCAAAAUAAAAUCAAAAGAGCAUACUAGGAUGCAAUAUUCUCAAGUAAGACCAGCUAAGAAGGCUUCCAUUGUAUUCAGCAGAAAACAAUUUCUGCAGACAAAUUUAAAAUAUUUGAAAGCAAAAUGAAAUGUUCACCUUUAGCUCUCCACCUUCUAGGGCCAAGUGAUGCAAAAAUUCCAUAUUCCUAACAAUAAUAUGAAUUAUCAAGGAAAACAUUCAUCAUCUUUUCUCUUUAACUCUUUUUUGUAAAUUUAAGUUACAAAGCAAAAAAUUUCAAAUCUUGGUUUUUUAAACAAGGGAGGGAGCCUUUUAACCAGGACUUACUUGUGAAAUUUAUGCUUCAGAAUCACAAUGACUAUCACUGCAGCUUCAUUAAUAAGAAGAAACUAGAAUACUACUUCUUAGAUAUAUAUUUUCCUAAUGUUUCUAAAUGAAAUUUCCGGGACAAAGGAACCUAAUGAUCAUUAAACCAGUACUUCAGAUGAACUUCUAAUCAUUGUCAAAGGCAAGUCUGUGUGAAAAUACAUAUAUGUGCCUAUAAAUAUGUAUGUUUCAUAUGGUUAUAAUGGAUAUCCUCUAACAUGAAACAUACUGCAAAUUAUAGUCGACUUAGAAUCAACUUUAUGAAGUAACUAGGAAUGACUAGUUAAUUAACUAACUCUGGCUUCCCCAAAAUUCUGAAAGUAGAUUUUUAGCCUAAUGGGUUAAAAACGUAAGUACUAGGUACUUACUGAGAGCACAU